AAAAAUUUAGUUAAAAUAUAACAUUAGCUUGUCAAGCUAAAAUUACUAGUUAGUAAUUUUUA
rnacentral:tRNA from 1 species